rnacentral:rRNA from 1 species
CGGGACGGGUGAGUAACACGUGGGUAACCUGCCCCAUACAGGGGAUAACGAGUUAGAAAUGACUGCUAAUACCGCAUAAGCGCACUGCAGUCGCAUGAUGGAGUGUGAAAAACUGAGGUGGUAUGGGAUGGGCCCGCGUCUGAUUAGCCAGUUGGCGGGGUAACGGCCCACCAAAGCGACGAUCAGUAGCCGACCUGAGAGGGUGACCGGCCACAUUGGGACUGAGACACGGCCCAAACUCCUACGGAAGGCAGCAG